UGGGGAAUAUUGCACAAUGGGCGCAAGCCUGAUGCAGCCAUGCCGCGUGUAUGAAGAAGGCCUUCGGGUUGUAAAGUACUUUCAGCGGGGAGGAAGGGAGUAAAGUUAAUACCUUUGCUCAUUGACGUUACCCGCAGAAGAAGCACCGGCUAACUCCGUGCCAGCAGCCGCGGUAAUACGGAGGGUGCAAGCGUUAAUCGGAAUUACUGGGCGUAAAGCGCACGCAGGCGGUUUGUUAAGUCAGAUGUGAAAUCCCCGGGCUCAACCUGGGAACUGCAUCUGAUACUGGCAAGCUUGAGUCUCGUAGAGGGGGGUAGAAUUCCAGGUGUAGCGGUGAAAUGCGUAGAGAUCUGGAGGAAUACCGGUGGCGAAGGCGGCCCCCUGGACGAAGACUGACGCUCAGGUGCGAAAGCAUGGGGAGCAAACAGG
rnacentral:rRNA from 1 species